UGCGCAGGCGGUUAUGUAAGACAGAUGUGAAAUCCCCGGGCUCAACCUGGGAACUGCAUUUGUGACUGCAUGGCUAGAGUACGGUAGAGGGGGAUGGAAUUCCGCGUGUAGCAGUGAAAUGCGUAGAUAUGCGGAGGAACACCGAUGGCGAAGGCAAUCCCCUGGACCUGUACUGACGCUCAUGCACGAAGCGUGGGGAGCAAACA
rnacentral:rRNA from 1 species